rnacentral:tRNA from 1 species
ACCUGGGUGGUGCAAAUAGUUAACACACUCAGCUGCUAAUUGAAAGGUCGGUGGUUCGAGUCCACUCAGAGGUA